rnacentral:rRNA from 1 species
UACAGAGGGGGCGAGCGUUGUUCGGAAUUACUGGGCGUAAAGGGCGCGUAGGCGGCCUCUUAAGUCGAACGUGAAAUCCCCGGGCUCAACCCGGGAACUGCGUCCGAUACUGGGAGGCUUGAAUCCGGGAGAGGGAUGUGGAAUUCCAGGUGUAGCGGUGAAAUGCGUAGAUAUCAAGAGGAACACCUGAGGUGAAGACGGGUUGCUGGGCUGACACUGACGCUGAGGCGCGAAAGCCAGGGGAGCAAACGGG